UACAGAGGUCUCAAGCGUUGUUCGGAUUCAUUGGGCGUAAAGGGUGCGUAGGCGGCGCGGUAAGUCGGGUGUGAAAUCUCGGAGCUUAACUCCGAAACUGCAUUCGAUACUGCGGUGCUUGAGGACUGGAGAGGAGACUGGAAUUCCUGGUGUAGCGGUGAAAUGCGCAGAUAUCAGGAGGAACACCGAUGGCGAAGGCAGGUCUCUGGGCCACUACUGACGCUGAGAAGCGAAAGCAUGGGGAGCGAACAGG
rnacentral:rRNA from 1 species